CCUGUAUGUACAUGUAAAUAUGGGAAGUUGCUAUUUUUACUAAAUGUGCCAAGGUUUUUUUGACCAGAAUGUGGUUUGCAUUUGUUCUUGCCGAUUACUGGCAUGUCGAGGUGCACUGGACAUGAUAUACAUUUCUGGCACAACUUGCAUGCAGCACACAACACAGAUCCAGAGUAUUUCAUAUCAUCAACCAUGAUUUGGUCAUAGCAAUUGUAACUAAAUGGAGACCAGGUCUAGAAAAUAGAUUUCCCUUCCAGGGAGCAAAAUCCAAAAAUAUAAGAAUUUUCAGUGUAAGCUCUCUCCCUUCGCAGAGGCUUUUGAUGUAAAAAAUCUGAGGAAGUCGAUUUUUCUAAUUUUCUCGUACGUACGCCCACAAACACACUCCUCCUCAGCAUUAAAAUAAGGAAAAUCACGUAUGGUGGCACACAUUGUGAUCUCAGCACAAGACAAUCUCGACCUGAAAACGUUUCUGUAAACAAUAAGUAACUUAUUAAAGGAAUACCGAAUGGUUUUCCGUGCAGGAUUGCGUGAUCCAUGCACGAGGGAUGUCGCGAGACUUUCGGAAAGCGUAAAAAUACUCGAACCGCAGGCGAGUGUAUUUUUACGCUUUCCGAAAGUCGAGCAACAUCCCAAGCAACCUCGUACCCAGGGCUAGUCGCGAAUUGAAGGCGGCGACAUAGCCCUGGUAAACGCUGGUCACGUGACUCCAACAUUACGUAAUUGUUACUUUUUUCAACCGCGGGGUGAAUAGGUGGGAUUUUACUACAUCCCGGGCGUUCUUUGUCAGUGCCCGCGAUCACAACUAGUAUUAUCAGCGGUACAUGAUGAUAACAUUGAGUGUUUCCUGAAAUCAUAAUGUUUGAAAGAAAACAUCUUAAAAGCCAAAUAUAAAUUAUAUAAUACUCGAUGUGAAUUUAUAACUUGGUUAAACUGUAACAGUUUGUCAGCAUGUUAAUCUAUAUUUCAAGAUAUCAGUUUGCUUCUAGUCAGUUUAUUUGAUCCAGACAUAUUGCCUUUUUAUUUUUUGACAAAACUUACAUACUGUUUAUGUUUUACCACUAAUUUCACAGAUCUUAUAUGAGCUAGUAACAUUUAUAGCAGCUCAAAUAAAAAAUAACCAAGUGACUAGACAGACAGGAGUUAUUUCGUAUAUUGUAGCAAUAUAAAAACUUUUGUUUGCGGUAAUCUUCACCAAGUUUGUCGUUAGCUCAAGCGGUAAAGGCGCUGCGUGCUAAAAGUGAAACGCGGUCAGGGUCGGGAUUGAUGCCGAACGCCCAUCAUCUGAUUUAGCUCUUUUUCUCAAUUUUUUUGUGAUUUCUUUUUUCUUCCUUCCUUUUUUAACUCUUAAAAGUUAGGCCGGUUAGUGUUUGGGAUCGGUAUAAAAUCUAAAGUGCUUUAAAAAAGUUUUAAUAAUCUGUUUUUAUCUAGUUGAAAAUGUAGCUUGAAAAUGUUUGAAUAUUGAGUUGCGAACUCAACCGCUGAUAAUUCUAAUUGUGAUCGCGGGCACUGACAAAGAACGCCCGGGAUGUAGUAAAAUCCGAAUAGGUGAAAUUCGAAGACAAACAGUUUUUA
rnacentral:lncRNA from 1 species